rnacentral:lncRNA from 1 species
CUAUGAAGCUGCUCCUCAUAUUUUCGCCAGAGCCAAAUUGAAGUUCAAAACAGCUGAAAUCUGCCUCUAGAGAUGGAGAAAGAGGGACCUUUGGACAGAAUCCUCUUUUAUAAAGUCAUCCCUGUUAGCUAAGAAUUUAUUUAUUUAUUUAUUAUUUUUUUCACAAAUAUGAACGCAUUCUCUUCUAGGCUUCCCAAAUUACUCAAAGAAUCCACCCCUUUGCUCCGUGAAAAAUUUGCGUCUUUCUUAGAGACAUGUUCAAAUGUCAAUUUAUUGAAGAAGUUACACGCUUGUUUAUGUACCCGAGGCCUUGCAGAUAACAAAUUUUUGAGAUCCAAGCUUGUCAAAUCCUAUACAAGAUUCAAUCUCUUAAAAGAGUCCAAAUGGGUUUUUGAUAAAGUUGUUGAUAACAAUCUUCCUCUCUGGAUUUCAGUUAUUGUUGGGUACUUUAGAGGUGAUAACUUUGAUGAAGUGUUGAGGCAAUAUAUAGAACUGAGGCGGAUAAAUAUUGGUAUUCAUAGUUCUGCGCUCACAUUAGGCUUGAAAAGUUGUGUUGAAUUGGGGACUUUUGAAUUUGGAAGAGCCAUUCAUGUGGAUGGUUUUAAAUUUGGAUUGAGUAAUGAUCAAUUUGUGGGGUCAUCUUUGAUUGGGUUUUAUUCGAAAUUUGAUCACAUUGAGAAAGCAGCUAAAGUGUUUGAAGAAAUUAUUAACAGAGAUGUGGUUACUUAUACUUCGAUUAUCACAGGGUACGCUCAUGCUGCUGAUCUUUUUGCUUACAAAGCUUUUAGAAUGACAUCUCAUAUGCAAUGGGAUGGAAUUGAGCCUAAUAGGGUUACUUUGGUAAGUUUACUUCAGGCUGCAUCACAAUUAGGAGCACUAGAAGAGGGAAAAUCAAUUCAUGGUUAUGGAAUUAGAAGAGGCAUUGGUUGCCUAGAUGAAGUUUUUGAAACAAUCCUGAUGGAUAUGUAUAUAAAGUGUGGUGAUCCAAACAAGGCAGCUGCAAUCUUUGAAAAGAUGGAUGAAAAGACUAUUGGUUCUUGGAAUGCUUUGAUUGCUUGUCAUGUUCAACUGGGAGAGCCGUUGAAAGCUCUCAACCUGUUUUCCCAAAUGGUGGAAGAAGACUGUGAGCUUGAUUUGAUCACUUUAGCAAAUGGACUAAUGAGUUGUGCAGAUUUGGGGAAUUUGGUUAUGGGAAAAAGUAUUCAUAGUUACAUAAUUCGAUCAGGAAUUCGACUUGAUCUUGUCACUACCACAAAUUUAAUUGAUAUGUACUCGAAAUGUAAGCACUUAACUGAAGCAAGUGAAGUCUUUAACAAAUCAGAGGAUAAAGAUAGUGUUUUAUUUAAUGUGAUGAUAGCUGCUUAUCAAUGUAAUGGAUUUCCACAUCGGGCCAUGGAGACAUUUAAUGAAAUGGUAAUGGCAGGUGUUAGACAGAAUACUAGUACCAUCUUGAGUGUGCUCUCAUCAUUAUCUGAUAUAAAAAACUCACGGGCAGGCAAGUGCAUCCAUGGAUAUGUGCUUGAACUUGGUUUUGAAGCGAACACUGAAGUUGCUAAUCAACUUAUGAACAUGUACGCAAAAUGUGGCUUCAUAGGAUGUGCAAGAAAAGUUUUUGACACAUUGAAGAUUAAGGAUACAGUAUCUUGGACAACACUUAUGAUGGGUUACAUUAAUCACAAUCUUGCUGAUGAAGCAAUGACCUUGUUUAGGUUGAUGCUAAGAGAAAAGCUUUGCCUUGAUUCUGUAGCUUUAACAAGUGUGCUUCAGGCAUUAAAUCAGCUUGGGAUUGUAAGUUUAGGAAGAGAAGUUCACUGUCUUGCAUAUCGAAUAUCUGUGGAAGAAGAUAUAUUUUUAAUCAAUUCCCUAAUUAUUACUUAUAGCAGAUGUGGAAAAUUAACGAUGGCUAGAAAUUUGUUUGGACACAUGUCUGAACGUCAUUUAUCAUCAUGGAACACUAUGAUAGCUGCGUAUAGGAUGCAUGGGGAUUGCGUACAGGCACUCAAAUUGUUUGACCAGAUGAGAAGAGAGAAGAUCUCACCUGAUGAGGUUACCUUCACAUCAGUACUCUCCGCCUGCAGUCAUUCUGGAUCUUUAGAAAAGGGCUUGUGUAUUUUCUGGUCCAUGGAGAAAGAAUAUGGAGUUGUUCCAUCAGAGGAGCAUUAUGGCUGUGUAGUGGAUUUGUUGGGACGAGCAGGACAGAUAGAAGAAGCAUACAAUCUUCUAAAAAAAUUUCCAUCAGAACAGUGUUCUUCUGCUCUUAGGGCUCUGCUAGCUGCUUGCAGAGUUCAUGGUAGUACUGCGAUGGGGGAAAGAAUAGGAAGAUGGUUAUUGAAUAUGGAGCCCCAACAUACAAGCAUUUAUUGUGCUGUGUCGAAUAUGUACGCUGGAGGAGGAAAAUGGGAUGAUGUAGCGCGUAUCGGAGCUAUUGCAAAGGGGAAAGGUUUGAAAAGGACUACAGGGUAUAGCCUUGUUGAUUUAUGCUAAAUUUGCCUUACCGUCAUUGAGCAUAUUGCUCGAAUUUUAGAUAGCUUAACCAAAUACAUACCUUCAUGCUGUCUAUAUCGGUAACAAAAAUUCUUUGAACAUACAUGCUGCUGUAAAGUUGCUCCCAAGCACAAUUUCGCUGCUAAAUAGUUCUUUGGUAAUUUCUUUAUGUGGACUUGAUUCUGUUCCUGCAUAGAUAGGGCUGAUUUCCAGUACUAGGCCGAGGUUCCAGCCUAUAAUGCCUAACCAGGUUGAGAUGUAACUGCGCUUGGAAUCAGACAUAAGGAUUGUUGGGAUUCUGGACCUACAGAUCAGCAGUUCUAGGGUUACUAAUGCUGAUAUACAAUUCAUUGAGGCCGUUGAGGCCUAGAAGACCCCAGGCCUCCAGCCCAUGGGAUGAUUCUUCUUCUGUUUACUUGAUCAUAUAGAAGGAAAUUUAGCUUCUUAGAUAAUUGAAUGUGAUGUUAAGUGUGAUUUUGGUAGUUUGCAAGUUCAAUUAUUAUUAUUAUUUGUUGGUAAUAUCUAGAGUAGCAAACCAUACUAGAGGUGUUACAUUAAAUUGACCUAAUGAUGAUCCUGUUAAGGUGUUCAUUGAUCCUAGCAGCACGAACAACUUAUUAUCAAUUGGUCAAUUUUUUGUAAUGCUUCUAAUAUGGUUUACUACACUGAGGUGUUCAUUGAUCGUAGCAGCACAAACAACCAUUUAUAAAGGUUUCUGGAAUUGAGCCUUACUCGAUUUGGAACUUCCAAUGGUUUUACGCCCAAGAAAGAGAAGACCGAGAAGCAGCAGUCUAGAUCAUCUUUGCAAUCACACACCUGCAUGGAUGUGGCAUGUGAUUGGAAUGAAUGGCGAGAAUGGCAAGUCAUAAUAUUGCAUUCGGUAAAAUAUUCUUUUAGGUUCAUUUCAUAUGUCGUUUUCUUUGCAGAUAACAGUCUUAAGAUUCAGUUCAAUUGCCUGUUAUUUUGAAACUAGGAUUUACAGUUUCAGGUUGGUAUUUUGCUGCUUAUUUCAGAUUCCCAAUCCUCUUAUUGAAGAAUGUAUUGAUAGAACAGAAUAGGUGGAAUUUGGGCUGUAAAUAUGCCAUGAGCGGAUUAUUUAGUUGUUUGUAGAAUUCAGCUAACUCUGACAAAAUGGAAGUGCUGAACGUUUUUGGAAGAGGGACGCGCUGUGGAAAUCUGUGAAGCCAGCACUCUUUGGAAUGAUGAUAGGGUCAAAAAUCCUUGUUCAGCAUCUUUCUGUUCAUCACAGUUGGAUUGCGCAUCAGACUCUUUGGUUCAACUGCUUUCCAGAAAUUUCUAAAGCACUGAGCCACAGAUUGAUUGCACUUUGGCUGUCGCUGAUAAGCAAAAUUGCCAAGUUAGUAUUAUAGCACUUUAUCUUAAUUGUCUAAUGAUAGCUAGAAUUGUUAGUCAAGUGAAUUGUUUAGUACAAGUUUGUUGGUCUACUAAGGAUGAAGAGUCUUGCUGCGUUAUCAGAAGUAUGGCAUUAAUAAAAUUCAGCAUGAUAUCCUCUGUUGUUGAAAGUUAACACUUUGACUUGUGGGCAUGCAUCCAAAUCAUCUUUCUGGUACUUAAGACCUCCCUCCAAGCAAUACAUACGACUUUCCGCAAAAUACUAUUUGUCUGAGUUUUGUAGAGUUGUAGGGACCUUCCUAAUCCGGCUUCCCAAAAUUCUUUUCAUAGCUACCGUUUCUUUCCUUUUCGUU